AAAAAGGAUCAUGCGGCUCGAUGUGAUGAAGAUAUCUGGCAUCCUAUAGGAACACAUUAUACAUGUACUGGAAAGUGAUACAAAUUCCUCAAUAAUUAUUUGGACAUUUGUUUGGAUGUUGUUCUAUGCUUAACAAAACUCUGGCCAGAUUGACCUCUUAACCAUUUGAAAUCAAAUUAGUUUGAUUGCUGAUUUUAAUUGUUAAAUCCAACUCAGGUUUCACGCCUUUCUUCACCUCUGUUAGCAAACAAGUAGGUAUAUAGUUGUUCAGAGAUCUAUCCAGAGCCAACCUGGCACUUCCAAAGGAAAAAAUGUUUAAAACCAGUGGCCCAACUUGAAAUAAAAAGGUUGAUUUCUUCACACCUUGCUAUUUGCCAAAGGAAAAAACCGCAUUCUCCAGACCUUGCCAUUUGCCCAUUGCCAGAUUGAACUAUCUGCCCUUUGCUUGAUUUCUUUAGUGCUGAGUCUGUACCCAAGUCUUAUCUUGGCAAAUGCUGGCUACAUUAACUUCAUUAUUUUAAGCCUAUUUGAUUAGGUAGUUUGUUACCAUCCUUUUUCAUCUUCUGCCGACUGAAAUCACUUAGUAAACCACUUGAUUAUUUAAUCUUUCUUCUCAUGCCCCUGAAGGCAUUUUGUGAGCUAAAUUAAGUUUUGCAUUGACCUAUGUUGAUUCGAUUGUUCUCAUAUGUUGAUUACAUCUAACUCCACACCCUCUACAAAGAUGGUUAUAAAUAGGCUCUAAUUAUUCUUUUAAAGAUACUAUCCACUAGCUGGACAUGAAAUUAAAGGGUGAUUGAAAUGGUGUUUUUUUUGAAGUAUUUUUGCUGUAAUAAGCUAGUCAAGCUCAUAUUCUGUUGGAUGAUUUUGCUGCCAGGAAAUUGUUAUUAGUGCAUUAAGACACUAUUUUCUCUCCUUUUUUUUUUCUUAUAGAUGCAAAACUCUUUUAUCAUUUGAUAUUAAACAACUUUUUCUUUGAAGGUGUGCAAUGGCACUUGUGCAUCAAAGAAUUAGGCGUAUAUUUUAUGCUUUCCCCAAUCCAAAUGCCGGUGCAUUAGGCAGUGUUCACAGACUACAGGGAGAGAAAAGCUUGAAUCAUCACUAUGCUGUUUUCAGGGUAGUUCUGCCUCAAUAGGUUCUUAAUAUGGCUGAAGUAGUUGCAAGGAAUGAUGAUGAUGACCAAAUUGCAACUUCUGUUUCUUAACAAGAGCAUCCCAAUAUCGAAUGAUUGACACUUUCCAUGAAGACAAUUGAGUGAUUU
rnacentral:misc_RNA from 1 species